GUGUCAGCCGCCGCGGUAAUACGUAGUUGGCACGCGUUGUCCGUAAUUAUUGGGCGUAAAGGGCUCGCAGGCGGUUUCUUAAGUCUGAUGUGAAAGCCCCCGGCUCAACCGGGGAGGGUCAUUGGAAACUGGGGAACUUGAGUGCAGAAGAGGAGAGUGGAAUUCCACGUGUAGCGGUGAAAUGCGUAGAGAUGUGGAGGAACACCAGUGGCGAAGGCGACUCUCUGGUCUGUAACUGACGCUGAGGAGCGAAAGCGUGGGGAGCGAACAGGAUUAGA
rnacentral:rRNA from 1 species